AACAAGUUCAAUUUUCAGUUUUUGGAUACAAUUUUUGAUUCUCUGUCUUAUUUAAAAACUUGUAGUUAUUAAUAUUUUUAUUAUUAAUAGACGAUAAAAUAUAAAUAAUACUUUACACGUGACUAAUUUCUUUAAGGUUUUCUAUAAUUUUUUAAAUAAAAUGGAUGGUUAAACAUUGGACAUAGGAUUAAA
rnacentral:pre_miRNA from 1 species